rnacentral:lncRNA from 1 species
CAAGCUCUUAUUUUGCAGAAAAAAUUCUGAAUCCUAAGUGAAGACCUCAGUGAGGUAGGUGACCGAUUUUGGAAAAUGACCUCCGGCACCACAAAACUGGCUGAGAUGACGAAGGGACAGCAAGGCCAAUGAGCCUGAAUCUCAUGCAAGGCUAGAGAGCCUGGAAGUGACAGUAAGGCCUAAGAGCCUGAAUCUUGCGCAAGACCUCAGUGAGGUAGGUGACUGGCCUCAGAAAAUGACCCCCGGCACCACAAAACCGGCUGAGAUGACGAAGCGACAGUAAGGCCAAUGAGCCUAAAUCCCAUGUAAGGCUAAAGAGCUUGGAAGCGACAGUAAAGCUUAAGAGCUUGAAUCUUGCGCAAGACCUCAGUGAGGUAGGUGACCGGCCUCGGAAAAUGGCCCCAGCACCACAAAAUCGGCUGAAAUGACGAAGCGACAGUAAGGCCAAUGAGCCUGAAUCCCAUGCAAGGCUAGAGAGCCUGGAAGCGACAGUAAGGCCUAAGAGCCUGAAUCUUGCGCAAGACCUUAGUGAGAUAGGUGACCAGCCUCGAAAAAUAACCCCCGGCACCAUAAAACCGGUUGAGAUGACGAAGCGACAGUAAGGCCAAUGAGCCUGAAUCCCAUGCAGAGCCUGAAUCUUGCGCAAGACCUCAAUGAGGUAGGUGACCGACCUCAGAAAAUGACCCCCGGCACCAUAAAACCGGCUGAGAUGACGAAACGACAGUAAGGCCAAUGAGCCUGAAUCCCAUGCAAGGCUAGAGAGCUUGGAAGCGACAGUAAGACCUAAGAGCCUGAAUCUUAUGCAAGACCUCAGUGAGGUAGGUGACUGGCCUCGGAAAAUGACCCCGGCACCACAAAACCGGCUGAGAUGACGAAGCGACAGUAAGGCCAAUGAGCCUGAAUCCCCUGCAAGGCUACCAUGCAAGGCUAAAGAGCCUGGAAGCGACACUAAGGCCUAAGAGCCUGAAUCUUGAGCAAGCCCUCAGUGAGGUAGGUGAUUGGUCUCAGAAAAUAACCGACAGCACUACAAAACCAAGCUGAGAGGAUGAAGGAAACUAUUCUUUUGCCUUUUAUUAAAAAAUACUGUAUGCUCACAGCAAACAGCGGCAUACGAUGACAACAUGCAAAAACAACUCAUAAGAACACAGCUCCGACCUCACAAUAAAAGAUUGGGGCACUGGACCAUAAAUGAAAAGCUAAACUCCGACCUCCCAAAGGAGCUCGGGUCAUAAGGUAAAGAGACUUUGAUCUCACACAACAGCCAAAAGCGCCAAAGCGCCAUGCUGACCUCAAGAGGGUGCUGGAACAGAAAUAAAAAAUCUGAAUCCGACCUCUCGAAAGAGCUCGGAUUACAGGCUAAUAAGACCUCGAUCUCACAAAAUAGCCAGCAUAUAACGAAAUUAAACUAAGGCGCUCCAACGCCUGUAU